GCUUUCCUGGUGUAGUGGUCAGCACACUCGGCGCAUAAUCGAGAAGUCCAUGGUUCGAGUCCCGGCGAGGGCA
rnacentral:tRNA from 1 species